rnacentral:rRNA from 1 species
AGUGAACGCUGGCGGUAGGCCUAACACAUGCAAGUCGAACGGCAGCACAGUAAGAGCUUGCUCUUACGGGUGGCGAGUGGCGGACGGGUGAGGAAUACAUCGGAAUCUACUUUUUCGUGGGGGAUAACGUAGGGAAACUUACGCUAAUACCGCAUACGACCUACGGGUGAAAGCAGGGGAUCUUCGGACCUUGCGCGAUUGAAUGAGCCGAUGUCGGAUUAGCUAGUUGGCGGGGUAAAGGCCCACCAAGGCGACGAUCCGUAGCUGGUCUGAGAGGAUGAGGGGCAACAUGGGGAAGGAGAUACGGCACAGACUCAUACGGGAGGCAGGAGUGGGGAAUAUUGAAAAAUGGGUGGAAGCAUGAGGAAGAAACGACGUGUGCGGGAGGAAGGCCGUCGGGUGGGAAACAGAGUGCGCCUGUGACGAAGGGUGAGUGAGGGGAAUGGGUAAAGAAGAAACGGCUAGUUAGGGG